rnacentral:rRNA from 1 species
GAUGAACGCUGGCGGCGUGCUUAACACAUGCAAGUCGAACGGAAAGGCCCAAGCUUGCUUGGGUACUCGAUUGGCGAACGGGUGGGUAACACGUGUGGGAUCUGCCCUGCACUUCGGGAUAAGCCUGGGAAACUGGGUCUAAUACCCGAUAGGACCACAUUAUGCAUGGUGUGGUGUAAAGUUUUUCGGUGUUGGAUGAGCUCGCGGCCUAUCAGCUUGUUGGUGGGGUAAUGGCAUACCAAGGCGUCGACGGGUAGCCGGCAUGAGAGGGGGUACGGCCACCUUGGGACUGAGAUAGGGAGCAGAAUCGUAUGGGCGGCAGUAGUCGGGAAUAUUGCGCAAUGGGCGCGAGCCUGUUGCAGAGACGCCGGGUGGGGGAUGCCGGCCUUCGGGUGGUAAACUCCUUUCGAUAGGGCCGAAGCGCAAGUGACGGUACCUGGAGAAGAAGCAACGGCUAACUACGUG